UCCGCUCCCCUCCUUCCCUUUCCUUUUCCUGCUUCAUUGUCACAAUUGUCAUGAUAUUCAGAGUCUUCCUGGUUUCAGACAGAAGUUUUCUGAUCUGUGUGGAAGAUAAACUUCUACAGUGAGGACUAGGCGCUGGGUUAUGUGAAUUUCAAGCUCUUUAGUUUCUAAUGUGAACGUAUGACAAAACAUAUUUCAGGAAAUGUGUUGAGUUUGCAUACACAAGCAUGACGAUUACUGCACAUCAAAAAAGAUUAUGAGAACAAAAUCUUCUCAUAGUAAAGGUUGAAUCCUGCUUUUGCUGCUGUUGAUUCUGAUCUUCCUGUUUUCAAAGGCUUGCAUGUUUAAUAUUGUGGAAUUUGCUGGGAUUUCAUAUACUGCACACCUACAUGGGCUUAUAACAAAAACAGUCUUCAUCUGCAGGACUGUGAUUUGCUGAAACCUAAUGCUUGUGCUGAGAAUGCUCCUGUACUCCCAACACAAAAUUCUGCAAGACAAGGACUUGCAAUCGCCUGCCAGAUGGACCUGGGAAAGAGAAAUUUAUCCAUGCAAUGAGAAAUCUAUCCAAGAGCAAAGAAGACUUGUCAUUUUCAGGAAAAACUGAAUGUAAGAGACUCAGAUAUGACAAAAAGACAGAAAUUGCAUUGUCAGAAAGAAAGAAACCUGAUACAACAUGGAUUUACCUGCUACCUGGUAGAAAUCUGAGCAAUGACAAUGGGAGAUGUGGAUCUGCAAGCAAAAGGCAAGGCAGGCACUGCAGGAUAAGAAGACUGAUGUUUUAUUUGGAAGAGAAGGCAAAGGAUAAAGACACACCUUUGGGAAAGGCAGGAGGAAAUUGAGUCCAGAGCAAACACUUGUCAAGGCACACCUCCCUCUAGACUUUGGAAUGGGACUCAGGAUACCCGAGUUAUGCUCUGCCCGAAUGAUGCCAUUCCUGUGUUACUGCAGCCUCUGGUGAAGAGCACGUAUCAGGCAGAAGGCGAAAACUAACGUUCUUUAUUAUUUCAAGUAGCAGAGGACUGCUGCAUAGAUCUGAAGUACAACUCUUACAAUGCCCUGAAAGUUGCUAAGAAAACCAUGGAUGCAAAAUUAGAAGAAAUUAAUCUACAAGAGGAUAAGUAACAAUGGACCAAACGUGAAAAAAACUCGUUUCAAAAUCAUGCCAUACUUUCAAGUAUUGUUUUAAAUAAUGACUUUUAAGGUUGAGAAAAAUCCCUCAGUUCCUUUGUACCUGCCUCCACUAAUAGCAGCAGAAUGCAUGCCAUGAUUACGCACGUAACCCAAGGCCAUUUUCACCUAUGAGAGACAUCAUCAUCAUCUGUUCAGCUGCAUAAUGUAACUUGAAACUCACUUCAGCACCUGAGUUCUCCAAAUGGGUGUGUUAACAGAAAAUUUUAGGGAACAACUGGUUCCCCUUGUACCUCACUGAGCCCACCUCUCUGGACACUAACUAAAGCAUACAAGUGUCCCAACAGGAGGCUUUCAGACAAUUCCAGUUGCUACUGGGGGUAACGGAGUGAACACAAAGACCAGUAAUGCUCUUUCUGUGCCAUGACAGCCACUGUGAUUUUUCCAGAAUAUCGGAAACACACCUACAAGUCUUUCAUAUAGAAGGCGACUUAAAGAUUAUAAUUCUGCAGUCUGUUCUCCUAGGUGUUUGCAAAUGAAGGUACCAUUGGGUGCAAGUGAUUUUGUCAGGCUGUUUACCUUCAGGCAGGAAAAUGAGUAUUCUUUUUCUUUGCUGAACAAUUACAUCCUGCUGCUGCUGAGUACCAAUACAUCCAUACUCCAUUGGUAAAUUAUCUGGUCCCUGGUUAUUCAUGAAACGUUGAUGAAACGACAUCUGGGGGGAAGAUGA